rnacentral:rRNA from 1 species
UGCCAGCAGCCGCGGUAAUACGGAGGAUCCAAGCGUUAUCCGGAUUCACUGGGUUUAAAGGGUGCGUAGGUGGAAUGACAAGUCAGUGGUGAAAACCUGCAGCUUAACUGUAGAACUGCCAUUGAUACUGUUAUUCUUGAGUACAUUUGAUGUGAGUGGAAUGUGUCGUGUAGCGGUGAAAUGCUUAGAUAUGACACAGAACACCAAUUGCGAAGGCAGCUCACAAAACUGUAACUGACACUGAGGCACGAAAGCGUGGGGAUCAAACAGGAUUAGAUACCCUGGUAGUCCACGCCGUAAACGUUGAUUACUAGAUGUAUGCCCGUUAGGGCAUGUGUCAAAGCGAAAGCGUUAAGUAAUCCACCUGGGGAGUACGAUCGCAAGAUUGAAACUCAAAGGAAUUGACGGGGGCCCGCACAAG